rnacentral:rRNA from 1 species
GAUGAACGCUGGCGGCGUGCCUAAUGCAUGCAAGUCGAGCGAACGGACGAUAAGCUUGCUUCUCUGAUGUUAGCGGCGGACGGGUGAGUAACACGUGGAUAACCUACCUAUAAGACUGGGAUAACUUCGGGAAACCGGAGCUACUACCGGAUAAUAUUUUGAACCGCAUGGUUCAAAAGUGAAAGACGGUCUUGCUGUCACUUAUAGAUGGAUCCGCGCUGCAUUAGCUAGUUGGUAAGGUAACGGCUUACCAAGGCAACGAUGCGUAGCCGACCUGAGAGGAUGAUCGGCCACACUGGAACUGAGACACGGUCCAGACUCCUACGGGAGGCAGCAGUAGGGAAUAUUCGGCAAUGGGCGAAAGCCUGACGGAGCAACGCCGCGUGAGUGAUGAAGGUCUUCGGAUCGUAAAACUCUGUUGUUAGGGAAGAACAGAUGUGUAAGUAACUGUGGACGUCUUGACGGUACCUAAUCAGAAAGCCACGGCUAACUACGUG